rnacentral:rRNA from 1 species
UACGUAGGUGGCAAGCGUUGUCCGGAUUUAUUGGGUUUAAAGGGUGCGUAGGCGGCCUUGUAAGUCAGUGGUGAAAUACUCCAGCUUAACUGGAGGGGUGCCAAUGAUACUGCAGGGCUUGAGUACAGAUGAGGUAGGCGGAAUUGACGGUGUAGCGGUGAAAUGCAUAGAUAUCGUCAAGAACACCGAUAGCGAAGGCAGCUUACUGGGCUGUAACUGACGCUGAGGCACGAAAGUGUGGGGGAUCAAACAGG